UCAUCACCAUCAUCAUCCUGACUAGUCUUUCGGGAGGUUUACGCAUACCCGAGAGGCUCAGAACUCUCGGUGGUUGAAUCAAAAAUAUCAGAUUUAGACCCUCGGGAGAGCAAAACUCCCGAGGGUUUUUUCAU
rnacentral:sRNA from 15 species